rnacentral:tRNA from 1 species
UAGGGUGUAGCUCAGUGGAAGAGCAUGUACUUAGGAUGCCCAAAGUCCUGGGUUCUAUUCCUAGCACCAAAA